UACGAAGGGUGCAAACGUUGCUCGGAAUUAUUGGGCGUAAAGCGCACGUAGGCGGCUUAGCAAGUCGGAAGUGAAAGCCCUCGGCUCAACCAAGGAAGUGCUUUCGAAACUGCUGAGCUUGAGUACUUAAGAGGAUCGCGGAAUUCCCGGUGUAGAGGUGAAAUUCGUAGAUAUUGGGAAGAACACCGGUGGCGAAGGCGGCUCACUGGCUCAUAUCUGACGCUCAGGCGCGACAGCGUGGGGAUCAAACAGG
rnacentral:rRNA from 1 species